rnacentral:rRNA from 1 species
UACGAAGGGGGCUAGCGUUGUUCGGAAUUACUGGGCGUAAAGGGCGCGUAGGCGGUUUUCCAAGUCAGGUGUGAAAGCCCGGGGCUCAACUCCGGAUGUGCACUUGAGACUGGGAGGCUUGGGUUCGGGAGAGGAUGGUGGAAUUCCCAGUGUAGAGGUGAAAUUCGUAGAUAUUGGGAAGAACACCGGUGGCGAAGGCGGCCAUCUGGACCGAUACCGACGCUGAGGCGCGAAAGCGUGGGGAGCAAACAGG